GAUGAACGCUGGCGGCGUGCCUAAUACAUGCAAGUCGAACGAGGUGCUUUUGUAGCAAUACGAGAGUAUCCUAGUGGCGAACGGGUGAGUAACGCGUUGGUGACCUACCCCAAAGUGUGGGAUAACAGUCCGAAAGGAUUGCUAAUACCGCAUGUGGUCUUCGGGUUUAGAAACUGAUGACUAAAGGAGCAAUUCGCUUUGGGAGGGACCUGCGUCCCAUCAGCUAGUUGGUGAGGUAAUGGCUCACCAAGGCUACGACGGGUAGGGGACCUGAGAGGGUGACCCCCCACAAUGGAACUGAAACACGGUCCAUACACCUACGGGUGGCAGCAGUAGGGAAUAUUGCACAAUGGGCGAAAGCCUGAUGCAGCAACGCCGCGUGUGCGAUGAAGGCCUUCGGUCGGUAAAGACACUUUUCUUGGGAGAUGAGCAAGGACAGUAUCUCAGGAAUAAGUCUCGGCUAACUACGUGCCAGCAGCCG
rnacentral:rRNA from 1 species